rnacentral:rRNA from 1 species
GAUGAACGCUGGCGGCGUGCCUAAUACAUGCAAGUCGAGCGAACGGACGAGAAGCUUGCUUUUCUGAUGUUAGCGGCGGACGGGUGAGUAACACGUGGAUAACCUACCUAUAAGACUGGGAUAACUUCGGGAAACCGGAGCUAAUACCGGAUAAUAUUUUGAACCGCAUGGUUCAAAAGUGAAAGACGGUCUUGCUGUCACUUAUAGAUGGAUCCGCGCUGCAUUAGCUAGUUGGUAAGGUAACGGCUUACCAAGGCAACGAUGCAUAGCCGACCUGAGAGGGUGAUCGGCCAGACUGGAACUGAGACACGGUCCAGACUCCUACGGGAGGCAGCAGUAGGGAAUCUUCCGCGAUGGGCGAAAGCCUGACGUAGCAACGCCGCGUGAGUGAUGAAGGUCUUCGGAUCGUAAAACUCUGUUAUUAGGGAAGAACAUAUGUGUAAGUAACUGUGCACAUCUUGACGGUACCUAAUCAGAAAGCCACGGCUAACUACGUG